rnacentral:snoRNA from 1 species
CCAUGCCGUAGGCAACUGUCUGGGUUGCCUUUUACCCAGGCAAGUGUCACACUGCAGGGAGAAAAGCAGCCAGGAGCUGGCGGACACUCUGGGCCUGGUUAGUGCCAAAUGUGUGUUAACUACACCAGUGUCCAGAACA